GCGACCCCAGGAUGGGCGAGGUCA
rnacentral:rRNA from 2 species